GUACUUACCUGGCAGGGGAGAUGCCAUGAUCACGAAGGUGGUUUUCCCGGGCCCGGCUUAUCCAUUGCUCUCGGAUGUGCUCACCCCUGCGAUUUCCCCAAAUGUGGGAAACUUGACUGUGUAAUUUGUGAUAGUGGGGGGGAGGGGGGAAGAAAGAUGAAUUAAAAUUUCCUA
rnacentral:snRNA from 1 species